CCCCCCAGCAGCUCCCCUCCGAAGUACAGCCUCCACAGCUUCAGCCUGCUGCACCAUGAGAAGGAGGCGUCGAGAGGAAGUCCCACCGGGUUCUUCACGGCUGGCUUCAGGUCCUUUCUGGUUCAGUGUGUGGAGCCCCCUGGAGGAGCAGGGCAAUCUGUUCAGAGCGCCUUCAUUAACUAAUUAAAGUAUCGAUAGAACUUCAGGAAUAAAGCAUGAAAAUGCUUUUUGCCACAUGGUGCCUCUCUCUCCCUAACGUCUCUCUCUCCCUAAGGCCUCUCCCUCCCUAAGGCCUCUCUCUCCCUAAGGCCUCUCUCUCCCUAAGGCCUCUCUCUCCCUAAGGCCUCUCUCUCCCUAAGGCCUCUCUCACCCUAAGGCCUCUCUCUCCCUAAGGCCUCUCUCUCCCUAAGGCCUCUCUCUCCCUAAGGCCUCUCUCUCCCUAAGGCCUCUCUCUCCCUAAGGCCUCUCUCUCCCUAAGGCCUCUCUCUCCCUAAGGCCUCUCUCUCCCUAAGGCCUCUCUCUCCCUAAGGCCUCUCUCUCCCUAACGUCUCUCUCUCCCUAACGCCUCUCCCUCCCUAAGGCCUCUCCCUCCCUAACCCUCUCCCUCCCUAACCCCCUCCCUCCCUAACCCUCUCCCUCCCUCCCCCUCUCCCUCCAC
ensembl:lncRNA